GAGAGAAUCAUCAGAUAGAAAUCGUAGAAUUAUGCGUGAUAGGUUGCGGCGAAGAUCGCGAGGUAAGAGGUGAAUUAAUCAAAGUCGCUCCUAAAGAGGAGAGCCAUAAUCGCGUGAGAACGUUAAGCUUAAGAUAGGUAACAUCGAGUUUCAUACACUUGGGAUAAGGGCUCGCGUCCUGUUUCGGUGAUGAACAUCGAUCUUCGAUAGUUGUAUCACGUUCGUUCGCUUCGAGAGCGAGGACGCAGCUUCAAAGACUUGAAAUAUGCGCCUUUCGAGUGAAAGAAAGAGAAAGAGAGAUAAAGAGGGAGAGAGCGAGAGAGAGAGAGAGGAAGAGAGAGAGAAAGAGGGAGAAAAAGAGAGAGAGAGAGAGAGAGAGAGAGAGAGAGAGUGGGAGAUACGUUGCUCAUAAUUUAUAACGGUCGUUUUCGCAACAAGAGCACGUCGAAAUGACCACCCGGUGGCAGGCUAAAGGAUGUUCGGUCAUAACAUCUGACGAAGCGAAACAUUAGCGGGAGGAUAUAUCAGCCGGCUCUCUUAUAGACGGAGCGUGGGCAGUAUCUUGGAUAUCACCCAGAAGAACGAGCACGAAAUGAUAUGUGAAAGAAGUCGUUCCUCCGCUUCGUCACUUCCAUUCUCCGCUUUGAACGCCCAAGGAGAUCUUUUCGAGACGUUUUAUCGGGAGACGGAUGGACGGACACGACCACGGAGCCGCGACCACGUAGUCGACGAAGCUCUCCGCGUUUCUCUCAAGCUUGUACAUUCGCUACAACAAGUUCCGUCGAUUUUGUGAUUAGUUGGAAGCCACGAUUAAAUUCUACUUCCUUCGAAAAUGGACGAUCUCAAUUCUUUCCUUUUCUUCUUCUUGACAAACUCGUUCGUCUUCACCACAGAUAUAUAUAUAUAUAUAGAGCGAAUGUGCGAGAUCGAAGCUAUCGUAAAAGAGAAAGAAGAAGAUCUUGUCUCGAAAGAACAUACGCGGUUAGCCACCUUACUGAAACAAGAUCAUCCGGUUGAGGAAUUUUACAAGAGAAAGAGAAAGAGAUAUAGAAAGCGACAGACGAAGAAAAGGAUUCUUCAUAAAGAAGAAGAAGAAGAAGAAGAAGAAGAAGAUGAAGAAGAGGAGGAAGUACUUUCCAGACGAACGAAAACUACGACUGUUCGCUCUGAUGCUUGUAUUUAUUAAGAGUGGCAGAAGCACGAUUCAGAGGCUACCGUAAAUAUUUUUGAACGCGAGUGUGCGCUACAAAGAUCCAGGGAUUGUGUUGGCGUGCCGGAGCUGCCGCCGUCCGCGACACGAAUGUCCGAACUCUCUUUUGUCGACAAAGAAAGAGAGAGCAAUAGUUAGAGAGAAAGAGAAAAAGAAAGAGAAAGAGAGAGAGAGAGAGGAAAAAGGAUAGGGAGAGAGAGAGAGAGAGAGAGAGAGAGAGAACAACGGGAAGAGAAAAAGAGAGAGGUUAGAAAGACAAGAACAAGGAUGGAGAUGAAUAGAUAAAUGGAUAGAGAUAGAGACGAGUGAGGGAGGUUAAAAAAGGGAGAGAAAGAGAGAAAGAGAAAGAGAGAGAAAGAGAGAGAAAGAGAGAGAAAGAUAGAGAAGGCGAACGUGUUCCAAGCAUCCAUGGAAGGCACGUCGUGCACAACGCUGGCGAACUCGUGUGUGUUCCGUGUUUCGAAUGCACGAAACAAGCGCUGCUUGUCCGCGGCCACCUGAGUUAUGAUCGCUUUCUGCCCACCCUGCGUGCUCGCUCGGUUGCCCACCUCCACGUUCGCUCGACUGCUCUCUUCUUCUUCUUCUUCUUCUUCUUCUUCUUCUUCUUCUUCUUCUUCUUCUUUCUCUUCUUCUUCCUCUUCUCUUUCUCCUCCUUCUCCUUCAUCUUUUCUUCUUCCUCCGGCAGUCUUCUCCCUCCACACGAUCAUCGGCCAUCUUGAUUCGAGAAAACCGGUUGGUUCUUUCACCAGAGUCGGUAUAUUCACUACCCGGUGGAUACCGCCGCCGUUUCGAGUUGACUUCUUCGAUAGCCGGCACGCACUACUCUUCUGUGAGCUCUUCUCGUGUCCGACCUUGUAUUUCCCAAUCUACUUGCUUCGAUUAAUAAUCUUUCUUAUCGUUACGCCGAAUUAAAUAUCGAAUCGAUCGUUGUCGUGAGAUCGUGAAAGAACUAAUACCGAUUUCAUAUAAAUUUGUUAAAUUAUUAUAUAUAUACAGAAGACAAAUUUUUAUGUGGGAGUUUCUACCUUCCGUUAUUUUCAAGUUAUACAAUGGAGGAUAAUAUUUCGAAUUCGAAGAUAAAAAGAGAGAGAG